CGCUGGCGAAGCACCGCCGGCGAUAGCUGCAGGCGGGCGGCGACAUGGAAUUCCCUCUAGGACAGGUCGAAAGGUUGUAUUUCGGCGGCUCGUCGGAGCUUGCUGGCAUCAUGGACCCGGGGUACAGAGUGCGUGUUGAGGACGAAGGGGCGGUCAGCGUGGUGGCGGCGGCGCACGAUGCCCGCGGAGACGACGAAGCAGACAGCGUCGCAGCACGGAAGCAAAUGCAUGUACAGGGGGCGUAGCUUGAGGAGAGCGCGGGGGAAGUCGGGGAAGAAACGAGAGCGGCUGCGUCCAUGCAUUCAGGGGGCACCAUGAAUGGGAAGAGGAAGAGUGUUGGGGGUGUUGGCCCGUCGGAAUCAGAGCAGUCUACUCUGAAGGGUGCGAGUUGGUGCACAUGCAACCGAACGGAGUCCCUGCCCUAACCGGGUUAGUACGCUGGAGAAGAUGAUAAGAAGUUACCCUGAGAGACGAGGAGAUCAUGUCCUCGAGCCAUCGUUGGGCAUGACAUUUGAUUCGCUCGGCGAAGCAUAUGAUUUCUACAACCUCUAUUCGUGGGAACACGGUUUCGACGUUAGGUAUGGAAAAAGCAGGCUGAACCCGCAGAGGACGAAGACAAUGCAAGAAAUGGUCUGCGG